GACGAACGCUGGCGGCGUGCUUAACACAUGCAAGUCGAACGGAAAGGCCCUGCUUUUGUGGGGUGCUCGAGUGGCGAACGGGUGAGUAACACGUGAGUAACCUGCCCUUGACUUUGGGAUAACUUCAGGAAACUGGGGCUAAUACCGGAUAGGAGCUCCUGCUGCAUGGUGGGGGUUGGAAAGUUUCGGCGGUUGGGGAUGGACUCGCGGCUUAUCAGCUUGUUGGUGGGGUAGUGGCUUACCAAGGCUUUGACGGGUAGCCGGCCUGAGAGGGUGACCGGCCACAUUGGGACUGAGAUACGGCCCAGACUCCUACGGGAGGCAGCAGUGGGGAAUAUUGCACAAUGGGCGGAAGCCUGAUGCAGCAACGCCGCGCGCGGGAUGACGGCCUUCGGGUUGUAAACCGCUUUCGCCUGUGACGAAGCGUGAGUGACGGUAAUGGGUAAAGAAGCACCGGCUAACUAUGUG
rnacentral:rRNA from 1 species